CCAGUGUAUGCAGGGUACAAGCAGGAGAGUCAUAUUACCUUGCUGCUUGGCCCAGUGAUAUGUCCAAUCCAUAGGGAGGGCACAGGUAGCAAAAGAGAGUCACAUUACCUUGGUGUUGGGAUAGACCUAUCAGUCUCUCGGUCAUUCAGGGCAAGAUAUCUCUUUAGAUAUCCAUGUAACAGAGCCCCAGCUCCUCUGUCCUCAGAAGCAAAAGCUGGUGGAGACCAAAUAGGGCUUGAAACGCAGGGCAGUGGAGGUACUUCUGGCCAUCCUGCUUGUCAGCACAUUGGGAAAACUGGGUGCUGGAGACUCGGAAACCACCGUGCAGACCUCGAGUCCUUCCCAGGCCCAGCCAACAGGGUGGUGAAUUGAAGAGAAACAUCAUCUUCUGCCUCCUGAAGGACCAGAACAGAACCUAGAAGUCAUGCACCAGUGAGGCUGCAGGUGCAGCCCACAACAAGGCCGUAACGUGGGGCGCUCCCUGAUACUGCCCUUUUUUUCUGGAGGCUGGGGCUUACCCGGCCGAGGUCGCCCUUUAGGACAAGGAAUCAGAGCUUUGCUGGCUGCCUUACCUUGCUGGGGCAGAGCCAGAGGGAAUCGCUGCUGAAGCUGUCCUGUGGGCUGCUGUGCCUGCCCCUUUAGUGACCCCACGGAAACACCUCCGCAACAAGUAAUCCACAGUGUCCUGCUUGCCAGCCUAGGCUUCCUCAUCACCUGCUGUUUCCGAAGAGAACAAUCUACACUGGAAUGACCAAGCUCUAGAAACAGGAGGAUGCAAAGAAUCUGUGGAAAGUCUGUUUGUCAUCUGGAUUCUUAGAAGAUACACAUUUUCCCUUCUUGUUAUAUUCAGUAGUGCAUGAAGCAGAUAUUACAGUAGAUGUGCAAUUCACACUAAAGUUGAUAGAAGGGUAAAGUCGUAUUCUAAGGUACUUUGUGGUCUCAAAUUUGUUCCCAACCCCAUGAUGCCCUUAAAAGCUGGACAGUUAUCAUUGAGAGUGGAGGUAGAAAGAAACUAGCUAGUCAGAUACAGCACAGUCCUCGGCAGAACGUCCCUUCUAAAGAAAAGCAGCCCAAGAAAUCACUUCUCUUUAACAAAGAGCAACCUGGAAGAUGGGGCUGCAAUCAUAGAUAAGGAAGCUAGAAGCUUAUAUGAGAGGGUAUGACUGCAGCUGCACCAAAAGAAGGGACCACCUCAGGCCAGACACAUUCAACAUGGGGGGCUCCACCCAACUUUUUUGCACAUGCACAGUAGGAAAGAGAUAAGCAACUUGGAGUAGCUCAGGCUAAGAACCCGCCUGCAUAAUAAAAGGUUGGAGUGUGGGCUGCCAGAGAUUCGUGUUCUAUGGAGAUGACACACCUGGUCCUAACCAUUUUUUCAUGCCCUAUGUGGAUAAGACACUCCCUUCCACUAGCUCAUGUAUAAAAACCAUUGCAUUUCACUCCUGAAAGUCAAGAGUUUUUGAGGAUCCCUCUCUGCAGUGGAGAGUUGUUCUCUUU
rnacentral:lncRNA from 10 species